GCCCGGAUGGUGAAAUUGGUAGACACAAGGGACUUAACAUCCCUCGGCGAAAGCCGUACCGGUUCGAUACCGGUUCCGGGCACCA
rnacentral:tRNA from 1 species